AUGAUCUUCCAGCCUGGCAUCCCGACCCGAAAGUUGGACGAUGUUGCUGCAGGUCAAACAUCAACUUCCACUGUAGCAGAUCCGACAACAAAUGCAACAAAGGUUUGGACCAAGCUUUGGAGUUUGAAAAUGCCUAGGAAAAUCAUCAUGUUCCUUUGGAGAUUGAGUCACAACACCCUUCCUGUCCGGUUAAAUCUUAAACAUCGUGGAAUUGACCUGGAUACCAUCUGUCCGAUGUGCAAUCGCCUUGACGAGGAUGGUGGCCAUGCCUUCCUCAAAUGUAAAUUUUCAAAGGCUCUUUGGCGGGAAGCUAAACAGGAGCAUGUAAGGGGUUUGCUUCUCAGUUGUACUGAUGCAAAACAAUCAGUCGAAACUCUACUAAGCCUGGAGAAUGCGACAUCCAUGUUCUGUAUUUGUUUGAUGUGGAAUUUGUGGAAUGCUAGAAAUGCAGUUAAUAAUGGUGAUAGGUGUCCGUCAGCAGCGGCUAUCGUUUCCUCUACUGCUAUACAAGUUACAGAAUUUUCUAAACAUCUUCAUAUACCUUCAUGUUCAGUUAUUGCCCCUAAUGAGCGCUGGUCUAAGCCUCCUGACGACUUCCUAAAGAUAAACAUUGAUGGUUCGUUCCUAAAAGAUAACAGUACAGGAGGUUGGGGUUUUUGUGUUAGGGAUGCUUCUGGAGAUGUCGUCGGUGCUGGCAUGGGCCAAAUCCACUUCCUGUCGGAUGCUUUGCAUGCAGAGUCGAUAGCUUGUCUGAAGGCGAUUGAGUUUGCUACUGAAGUUGGGUUUGGGCUUAUCAUCAUUGAAACAGACUCCACAGUGCUAGCCACAGCUCUUCUUUCCAAUGAAUUGGAUACUGCUCGUAUCGGAAUUCUCUUUUGGGAGGCAACAUUUCUUCUUUUUACUAGCUUUAUUGAGUUUAAAGUGCAUGUGUGUAAGCGUGCCUGUAACUCGGUGGCACAUGUUCUGGCUACCCAUGGUGCCCAUAUGUCCCAGGGAGGUACCAUGUAUUGGCAUGACGCUGUUCCUGACAUUGUAUCUUCUGUGGUGGCUAGCGAUCUAGCUGCUUCUGCUUCUGUAUGUUAA
rnacentral:rRNA from 1 species